rnacentral:rRNA from 1 species
CGAGGCCCCACCGACGGGUAACCGUCACGGGGUCCUAGUGGCGAACGGGUGAGUAACACGUGAGGAACCUGCCCCGGAGUCCGGAAUAGCCCAAGGAAACCUGGAUUAAUACCGGAUACCCUCGACCGGUCGCAUGUCUGGUCGAGGAAAGGUCCGCCGCUCUGGGAUGGUCUCGCGGCCUAUCAGCUUGUUGGUGAGGUAACGGCCCACCAAGGCUACGACGGGUAGCUGGUCUGAGAGGACGACCAGCCACACUGGGACUGAGACACGGCCCAGACUCCUACGGGAGGCAGCAGCAGGGAAUAUUGCACAAUGGGCGCAAGCCUGAUGCAGCGACGCCGCGUGAGGGAUGAAGGCCUCCGGGUCGUAAACCUCUUUCAGGAGGGACGAAGCGAAAGUGACGGUACCUCCAGAAGAAGCCCCGGCCAACUACGUGCCAGCAGCCGCGGUAAUACGUAGGGGGCGAGCGUUGUCCGGAUUCAUUGGGCGUAAAGAGCUCGUAGGCGGCUCGGUAAGCCGGCCGUGAAAUCCCGGAGCUCAACUCCGGGCGGCCGGUCGAUACUGCUGUGGCUAGGGUCCGGUAGAGGAGAGUGGAAUUCCCGGUGUAGCGGUGAA